CAGAUGGCAAACAGAAGUGGUGGUGGAGUUGCUGUUUAUGUGAAAAGUGACAUUCAAGUGCAUGAAAAACAGUACAUCCAUAAUGUAACUGACCUUGAAUUUCUGGCUUUAAAGGUUGAAGCACCAGUCAGUGCUCUGAUUGCAGUUGUAUACAGACCUCCAGACUACACUCUGAGGCCAUUCCUGAAAAACCUGAGCCGAGACACUCAGGACUGAACAGACUGCACAGUUUCUGUGACUGAGCCUCCAAAACACCUUCUUUGAAACCACUCAUGAUAGAAGGGCUUCAUAUUUGCAGCAGCACUACUACAGUUGGCAGGAAUGUUGCUGCAGGAAAACAUCCCUGGAGAUCACCAUCAUUGUCAGACUGACUGUGCCUCCUCUGUGCAGUGUCAAGAUCCUCCCUAAAUGAGUGUUCCUCAGCUAUCCUGCUUCUGUGCUGCUUGCCACACAUCAAACACUGGCCGGAUGACAGGGAGGAUCCACUCUGAAGUCACUGGACAUGAUGAGGAUCAUAUGGGACUUUAUAGUUUCACAGAAACGUUGUGCUCUGUGAUUACAGGUUUUAAAUGGACAUAAUGACUGCCUCUCUCUGAUCAACAGGCUAAAGGAUUGUUUUCAUUGUUAGUGCUCUGUACAAUGUAUGCUUAUUUAAUAUUUCAUCACAGAGCAAACCUUUAUUUAUUUAACAUAUUUUUAUUUUGUUUUAAUGUUGAAUUAACUGUGGGGAUUUUUUUAAGUGGGCACUCGGGAUGUCAUAUGACCAGAAAUGUGGUAACUGGUAUUCAACAGUAUGGAAGAAAAAAUCUGCUAAGAACAAAACACACACAAAACCCCCCAAGAAAAUUCAAAUUCAUUCCAUGUAAUCCAAUCUAAAACAUUUUAAACUGCUGAACAGCAACACAAACAGUGUUAAAAAACAGUGUUAACAGAAUGAUUAUGAUGAUUUUGUACCAAAGUUUCAGGUCACAUGGCACACCUAGUGUGUAGUGUGGGGUAUCAGCUGGUAAGUAUAGGGUUUUUUUCAUAUUUGUGUACUUAGAGUUUAGAUAGAUAAAGCCUUGUGUAUAAUAAUUAGUCAUAACCACAACUCAAAGUCAGGGACUAACUAAUUUUGGGACUUUGUGUCUGAGCCCAGGUUAAAACACUGUGUAAAAAAGCAUUUAGUGGCAUGGCUGAACAAUGCUGUAUUGAUACUUAUUUAUCCAUGUUCACAAAAAGGACUAAUGUGUUUAUUUGAUUAUUUGCACAUGUUAAACUGUGUCACCACCUUAGGCUUUCAUUUGAGUUUACUCAAAAAUCUCUAUACAGUUCUCUUUUACCACUGUGUGGACUCUGUUUACAUUAAAACAUAAAGAAGAAUGAGUAAUAAAAAGAUGUGUAGACAGAUUAAGUAGGACGAUAGAAACAGCUGUUCAGCCAUGUUCUAAGAAACCAACACAAUUUAAAGGUUCAGGAUUGUGGUUUUAAAAGUUGAAUUUUCAUGUAUUUCAUAUCUUGCUUAUUAUUUUUUAUUUAGUUAUUUAAUUUAGUUAUUUUUAUUUAUUCUACUAGUCCUUUUCAGAAAGAAGCUGUAAAAUAUGACUUAAGAAUUUUUUUUUAUUUUCUAUGACAUACAAAACAAAUUGAUGUAUGUAAUACUAUUAAACAUGAUAUACACAUGUGUAUAUGUCUGAAAAACAUUAUGCUGUAUAUUAAAGUUUGCAUUUUCUCCAGAAUUUUUGUUCAUCUUUUAAGUUCAUUUCAGUUAGAAGAAUUUGAACUUUUAAUAUUCAUUCAGAGAUUUUCUGACUCUAAAUUUUCUUUUGUCAUUACUCAUUUUUUUAUUAUUUACAUUUUAAACAUGUUUAGCUUUUUUCCAACUUCUUCUGUGUGAACAUCAGCUUUCAAAAGUUCUGCACUUUUGUUUUCACUUUAAAAAUUCUGUAUUUUCCAGCUCAUUCAGAAUUUUUAACUUAACAUUCAGUAAUUAAUUCAUUUCAGUGCAUACAUUCAGAUUCAAGCAUUCACACUGCAGUUUCUUCAGAAAAUGCACUUUCUAGUUAUUAUUAUUAUAUUUUAUUUUUCCGUACGUUUUUUGAAAGCCUACUCCUUCAAAACCGUUCAACUUAGAAAAACCAUUCAAACACCGUUAGAUUCCUAUUCUUUUGGACAACACUGCUUCUAUUUUUCAUAUUUUUAACAUUUAUAUUUUUAAUUUUAUUCAACUUUAUUCAACAAAAAUUUAUAAUGUAUUUCAAUGGGGAGACCCUUCAAAUCCUCAUUCAACUUACUCAUUUUUAAACUCUUACUACUUCCACAUACAUUGACAUAGAGCCACCAUUCAAACUUUAAAACGAAGACAAGACAUUCAACUAUUCAACUUGUAUUUAUCUUUUCAAUAUCUAUUAUACUUUUUCUUCAGUUCCAGUUUAAGUUUCAUGAUGUUUU
ensembl:lncRNA